UACGUAGGGGGCGAGCGUUGUCCGGAUUUAUUGGGCGUAAAGAGCUCGUAGGCGGCUUAGCAAGUCGGGUGUGAAAACUCCAGGCUCAACCUGGAGACGCCACUCGAGACUGCUAUGGCUAGAGUCCGGUAGGGGACCACGGAAUUCCUGGUGUAGCGGUGAAAUGCGCAGAUAUCAGGAGGAACACCAACGGCGAAGGCAGCACUCUGGGCCGGUACUGACGCUGAGGAGCGAAAGCGUGGGGAGCAAACAGG
rnacentral:rRNA from 1 species